GGGGAUGUAGCUCAGUAGUAAAGCACUUGUCUAACAUGCACAAGUACCUGGGUUCAAUCCCUAGCAUAGCUG
rfam:Heterocephalus glaber contig140846, whole genome shotgun sequence.